rnacentral:rRNA from 1 species
GACGAACGCUGGCGGCGUGCCUAAUACAUGCAAGUCGAACGCAGUGGGGACGGGUGAGUAACACGUGGGUAACCUCCCAUCAGAGGGGAUAACACUUGGAAACAGGUGCUAAACCGAUACUGAUGGAUGGACCCGCGGUGCAUUAGCUAGUUGGUGAGGUAACGGCGCACCAAGGCCACGAUGCAUAGCCGACCUGAGAGGGUAAUCGGCCACAGGGGGACUGAGACACGGCCCAAACUGCUACGGGAGGCAGCAGUGGGGAAUCGUCCGCAAUGGGCGCAAGCCUGACGGAGCAACGACGCGUGAGUGAAGAAGGUUUUCGGAGCGUAAAGCUCUGUUGUAAGAGAAGCGGUAUCUUACCAGAAAGCCACGGCUAACUACGUGCCAGCAGCCGCGGUAAUAC